rnacentral:tRNA from 1 species
GAUGUAACCAAGGGGAUUAAGGGAGGGGAUUGGGAAUCCACCAUGCGCGGGUUCAAUUCCCCCC